AUAAAAGCAGCGUAGUACGCUUGUAUAAUCGCAGAUAUUUACCAAAGUAGUUUCUCGACGAACGCUGUAUUUUGUACUUGCAAAAAUGGGUACAGCCGUUUGGACUCUUCUUAUUCUAUCGCUAUUGGCAUAUGAGUUUGCCGACGGAAUUUUCGUGACUUUGGGCUUUCUGAAGGAAAAAUGUUCAUAUUUGAACUUACAAUUUAUUGUUCAACCGUUGGUUUGUCAAAUUUUAAAUGCUACCAUUAAUAAAACAACGAACUUUUAAAUUCUAUGAUGAUCAUAUGGACGGAACGCUAGGGGUAGACACAAACUAAGAAAAAUUCGGACUUAUUAGGUCCUGUCGUUAUAUGCGACGUAAUAAAAAAAAAAAAUUAGAAAAACUAUCAAUAUAGAGUCCGUGUCUCCCUCCUUAGACGGAACGAGAAAAUCAAACCAAACUGAAUACAUAUUUUUAAAGGUGUACGUAGAAAAAUAAAAUAUAAUUAGAUAUGCAAAGCUAAAAUGAUGAAAUAUUUGAUGUUUUUAUUAUUGAAAACUUUAUAAUGAUGUGCAAAAUGAUGCAGACUUUGUCGAUGUGCAAUUUCAGUUUUAAUGAUGCAAUUGCGUGCGUCAAACAACUCAACUCCUCAAGUUAUUCCGAGAAAUGAUCGUGUCGUAAAAGAUUGUCCAUAAGCAAUUGCAUGUGAAUGUGCACUAAAUAUCUGUGACUUAAAUGUAAUCGAAAAUAUUUAUUUUUCUUUCGAAAUUAUACAAAUCUCCGAUUUCAUCAUUCCGAAGACGUCAAUAUCAUUCAGAAAUGUGAUUUUCGAUUGAUAUAUAAAGGGAGACUUUUGUUGAAAAGAAUCAUACAUGUUUUGAUAACGAUCUUUGGAACAUUCAAAUAAAUAUUAUCAAAUUCAAAUAAUACUAACACUUCGAAAUGAAAAUUCAAGUUGCUUUUCUAAUUUUGUGCUUUGGGCUGAUUCAGAUGGUGCAAUCCACGCCAUGUCACGACCAAGGAGGAAGUCCACCCCAGAAUCCAUCUCCAAAUCUAGCUCAGAAUCCACCACAAAAUCAACCCCAGAAUCCACCAACAGUUCCAGUUUUACCUGCUAUUCGCUAAUUCCAAAAGCCAAAUCAGAUUCAAAGCUUCUUUUCUUAACUCCGGAGUUAAAAUUUUUUGAUUAAU